CCCUUAGAUGUUCUGGGAUGCACGCGCGUUACACUGAUUCGUUCAACGAGUUUAUGACCUUGCCUGAUGAGGUGGGGGAAUCUUUUCAAAUCGCAUCGUGAUGGGGAUAGAGUAUUGUAACUGUUAGUCUUCAACGAGGAAUUCCUAGUAAGUACGUGUCAUCAGCUCGUACUGAUUAUGUCCCUGCCCUUUGUACACACCGCCCGUCGCUCCUACCGAUUGAGUGCUCAGGUGAAUAGUAUGGACUGCAUCAGUGUUCGGUCUCCGAAUGUUGACGCGAGAAAUUCUGUGAAUCUUAUUGCUUAGAGGAAGGAGAAGUCGUAGCA
rnacentral:rRNA from 1 species